UCCCUCAUGGCUCAGAUGGUAAAGAAUCUGCCUGCAAUGCAGGAGACCCAGGUUCCAUCCCUGGGUUGGGAA
rnacentral:tRNA from 1 species